rnacentral:rRNA from 1 species
CUUGAACCCUAUAAGAGGUCCAGCCUGCCCAGUGAAACAAUUCAACGGCCGCGGUAUCCUAACCGUGCGAAGGUAGCGUAAUCACUUGUUCUCUAAAUUAGGACUAGUAUGAACGGCAUCACGAGGGUUAUACUGUCUCCUUUUUCCAAUUAGUGAAUUUAAUUUUCCCGUGAAGAAGCGGGAAUAAGCCUAUAAGACGAGAAGACCCUAUGGAGCUUUAAACAAUCUAGCAUCUGCCUAUAUUCUUCAUGUUUCAGAACUCUCUAGACCUCCUACAUAAUGACUAGAAGUUUUAGGUUGGGGUGACCGCGGAGUAAAACCCAUCCUCCAUAAUGAAAGAAUUUUAAUUCUUAACCAAGAAAUACCUAUCUAAGUAUUAACACACUGACAUUUAUUGACCCAAUACAAUUGAUCAACGAAC